AAAAAGGGCUUCUGCUAUGUAUAGCACAGGAGGGGUGGUGAUUACCACACUUCUUGCGGAAUCGCCAUCAAGAGAUUUCGGAAGCACAAUUUUUUUAACCAGGGGCUGCUAGUGAUCUUUUGUCCUGGCGUCCCG